rnacentral:tRNA from 1 species
GGUCACAUAGCUCAGUUGGUAGAGCACUGCGUUCACAUCGCAGUUGUCACAGGUUCGAGUCCUGUUGUGACCACCA